AUCCUCCAAGGCUAAAUACUCCUGAUUGACCGAUAGUGAACCAGUACCGUGAGGGAAAGGCGAAAAGAACCCCGGCGAGGGGAGUGAAAUAGAACCUGAAACCGUGUACGUACAAGCAGUGGGAGCCUUGAUUUAUCAGGGUGACUGCGUACCUUUUGUAUAAUGGGUCAGCGACUUAUAUUCUGUAGCAAGGUUAACCGAAUAGGGGAGCCGUAGGGAAACCGAGUCUUAACUGGGCGAAUGAGUUGCAGGGUAUAGACCCGAA
rnacentral:rRNA from 3 species